rnacentral:rRNA from 1 species
UAGGAAGGGUGCAAGCGUUACUCGGAAUUACUGGGCGUAAAGCGUGCGUAGGCGGUUUGUUAAGUCUGUCGUGAAAGCCCCGGGCUCAACCUGGGAAUGGCGAUGGAUACUGGCGAGCUAGAGUACGGUAGAGGAGAGUGGAAUUCCCGGUGUAGCAGUGAAAUGCGUAGAGAUCGGGAGGAACAUCAGUUGCGAAGGCGGCUCUCUGGACCAGUACUGACGCUGAGGCACGAAAGCGUGGGGAGCAAACAGG